CUGACUGUAGGGGGUGAGGAAUGGGGAAGGUACAGGGGGCUCAGCUCUGCUCCUUGUAGCUCCUCCCUCACCUUAACAAGCGAAAACGAUGUAAAAGCCUCCUGCAUGCUGAAAAAAAAAAUGUUAGAGAAAAAGACAAAACCCCUUUCUUUAAAAAAUAAAAAAAAAAAAGAAAAAAGAAGGGAAAAAAAAAAGAAGAAUCAUGACCCAAACAAACGUCCAAUGCUUGCUGUUGGGAACCGGAGUGGGGCUGUCCUGAGGGGGCUGCCCCUCUCUACAGAUGAGGUUCCUACUCAAGUCUCCAAGUUGGCCUUUAAUAAAAUCUUCAGUUCCAAUAACCUUUAUAUAUAUAUAUAUAUAUACACAUAUAUAUAUACAUAUACAUAUAUAUUAAAAAAAAAAGCUUGAUGUAGCAGUUCUAGUUUAAAAUGAAUAGAAGUAUUUCGGCCCCUGUUUUUAUUUUGAUUUUGUUCCCCCUGUCCCCUGCUUCCCGCUGUACCCCCCACCGACUCCAUAUUUUGAUGUAGCAACUUUGGAAGAAAGAAAAAACAGGCGCUGUAAAUGCACCGAGAGCUACCUCUGCCUCGAGUGGGGGCUGCAGGGAACUCGGGGGGCUCAUGGGGCACCCAGAGAGGGGCAGCCCGGGCCCUGCCUGUUGGCAUCCAUGGGGAGCCCGGUUGCGGGGCUUGAACAACAAAAAUUUGCGUAAUUUUUUUUUCCUCUUUUUAAAUAUAUGUAUAUAUAUAAAAAUCUUUAAAAAAAAAUAAUAAAAACAAAAAACAAGAAAAAUGCCCAUGACCUUAACUAUUUGCUCUGACUUGUAUCUUCCUUGAUAGGUGACUAAAAAUGGCUUGUUGGUCUAAUUCACCAGCAAUAAUGAUAACUAAAUACAGCCCCCUCCUCCUGCACCCAUCCCUUUUCUGCAGCGCCCACCGAGCCGGGUCCUUGCACUCCUCCCCUUCCCUCCCACCUCGAGGAUGCCCUUGGUGACCCCUUGUUGCAGUGUGAACCAACUGGCCUGAACCUGGCUGGCUUCAGCUGCCCCACGAUCCCUCCCAGGCUUUUGGGAUACCCCUUUGGGGUGCUGAAGCCGUGGGGGCUGGAGGGAGGCAGGUGGAACUGGGACCCCGUGCGCCAAACUGGGUGUUCCUCCCUCUGGAGCAGGAGCAGCAAAACCCUUGUGGGAAGCCUGGUCCCUGAGACCUCCAUCCUGCAAAAUCACGUCCCAGCAAAGCAGGGUGGGUUCCUGGGAGUGAUGACAGGACAGUGGCACCCCCGAGGGGGGCUGAUGCCAGUGGGUGCUGCUGGUCUCCCCUUGGCCUGACUGGGAAUGGGGAGAUCCUUGGGGUUUGCAUUUGCUGGAGCUGGGGUGGGGACCGAGGUGACCCGUGCCAUGCUGUGCUGUGUGUGGUGAUGGUGGUGAUCUUUGCAAGGCAGUGACAAGAGGGCACAAGCAGUGGCACUGAGGGCAGGUACCCAAAACCCAGGGCUGGGAGCAGAGAGGGCAGAGCUGCGCUGGAAGGCGCUGAGCUGCUGGUAGGACAUGGCCAGGUGUGAGCAGGACAUGUCCAGGUGUGAGCAGGACAUGGCCAGGUGUGGGCAGGACACGUCCAGGUGUGAGCAGGACAUGUCCAGGUGUGAGCAGGACAUGGCCAGGUAUGGGCAGGAGGUGUCCAGGUCCAGGCAGAACAGGUCCAGGUGUGUUCAGGAUGUAUCCAGCUUUGUUCAGGACCUGUCCAGCUUUGUUUAGGACAUGUCCAGGUUUGUUCCUGACCUGUCCAGGUUUGCUCAGAACGUGUCCAGGUUUGUUCAGGACAUCUCCAGCUUUGUUCAGAACGUGUCCAGCUUUGUUCAGAACAUCUCCAGGUCCAGGCAGGCUCACCCCAAGGGAGGACAGAGGGGCUGUAGUGGGGUGCCCACCCAGUUCAGCACUGGGAUUUCCAUUCGUGCUUUGCCAAACUGCCGCCGAGUUCAGCCCCGGCUGCAAAUAAAGAGUGGGGCCUUGGGGCUGUGCUGGGUUUGGGACUCAUCCUGUGACUUUUCCAUGUGGAUGUGACCUCCUGGGUGGAAGGGAGUUGUGACAGGGCUGUGAGAGCUCCCUGUUCCCAUGCCAGGGUCCUGCCAUGUCCCCAAAUUCUGUUUUGGGGGGCGGUGUUUGAGAGCUGCCGUGGGGGGACAGCAGCUGCUGGACAAGGGACGGUGCAGGGGAGCGGGUGACAAAUAACAAAGGGAAAUGGAGGGAAAAAGUAAUAUCAUGCUGUGAUGUCAUCCUCAUCGACAUAAAUUAUAUAGAGAAUAGUGUGUAUUAUAAUGCAUAACAAAAGAAAGUAAAAAAGAACCAAAAUUGGAUUUAUAGUUAAUGAGGAGAUACUAUAAAAAUAUCUUGUCCUAGCUCCCAUUUGCAAAAGUAUUUUUCAGCUGGAGGGAUAUCUAUUAUUUUUUUCUCUUUUCUUUCUUUCUUAAAAAAAAAUAAUAAUCUUCAUACAUACAAAGGCUCAGACUGUUAAUAUUGUUAACCUCUGAAAUCAAAAUACUCCAACCUGUUUUGUUUGGUGUUUGAAGGGUUUAUUUUGAUGCAUUUCCUGGUGUUUUUUAAAGAGAGAGAGAGGAGGGAAAAAAAGAUUAAGAUUUUAAAAUUAGAACAUUUCUUUAUAAUUUAAUAUUCUAUUUUAAUAAAUGCAUUUAUUACAUGUAAAUGUAGCAAGGAACUGGGCUAAUAAAAAUACUUUUUAUUAGGUAAUUUAUUAUAAGAAAAAAGGAUAUUUUAUUUUAUGAUAAAGUGAUCCUUAAAAGUUUAGAAGGUUUAGAAUAUAUGUAGGUUAAAAAAUACAUUUGUAUCCAGAGUAUUGCUUAAAAAGUGUUUUUAAUAUAUGUUUCAUUUUUCGUGUGUGCGUGUGUGUAUGUAAAGGUGAUAGUUAUGGUGCAGAUAGCCCUUUCCACAAAUAAGAAAUUAACACAGUUGGAUGUAUUUAAACAAAA